rnacentral:rRNA from 1 species
GUGCCAGCAGCCGCGGUAAUACCAGCCCCGCGAGUGGUUGGGACGUUUACUAGGCCUAAAGCGCCUGUAGCCGGCCCUGUAAGUCCCUCCCUAAAGGCCCGGGCUCAACCCGGGAACCGGGAGGGAUACUGCAGGGCUAGGGGGCGGGAGAGGCGGGGGGUACUCCCGGAGUAGGGGCGAAAUCCGUAGAUCCCGGGAGGACCACCAGUGGCGAAGGCGCCCCGCUAGAACGCGCCCGACGGUGAGAGGCGAAAGCCGGGGCAGCAAAAGGGAUUAGAUACCCCUGUAGUCCCGGCUGUAAACGAUGCCGGCUAGGUGUCGCGUGGGCUUAGAGCCCACGCGGUGCCGCAGGGAAGCCGUUAAGCCGGCCGCCUGGGGAGUACGGCCGCAAGGCUGAAACUUAAAGGAAUAGGCGGGGGAGCACCACAAGGGGUGGAACCUGCGGCUCAAUUGGAGUCAACACCUGGAAGCUUACCGGGGGAGACCGCAGGAUGACGGCCAGGCUAACGACCUUGCCUGACUCGCGGAGAGGAGGUGCAUGGCCGUCGCCAGUUCGUGUUGUGAAAUGUCCGGUUAAGUCCGGCAACGAGCGAGACCCCCACCCCUAGUUGGUACCCUGGCCUCCGGGCCAGGGCCACACUAGGGGGACUGCCGCCGUAAGGCGGAGGAAGGAGGGGGCCACGGCAGGUCAGCAUGCCCCGAAACCCCCGGGCCGCACGCGGGUUACAAUGGCAGGGACAGCGGGAUCCUGCCCCGAGAGGGGUGGGCAAUCCCUAAACCCUGCCUCAGUUGGGAUCGAGGGCUGCAACUCGCCCUCGUGAACGAGGAAUCCCUAGUAACCGCAGGUCACCAACCUGCGGUGAAUACGUCCCUGCUCCUUGCACACACCGCCCGUC